rnacentral:rRNA from 1 species
UACGUAGGCAGCGAGCGUUGUUCGGAAUUACUGGGCGUAAAGAGUGUGUAGGCGGUGUUCCCAGUCUGUUGUGAAAUCUCCCGGCUCAACUGGGAGGGUGCGCCGAAGACUGGAAGGCUUGAGUAUGGGAGAGGUAAGCGGAAUUCCUGGUGUAGCGGUGAAAUGCGUAGAUAUCAGGAGGAACACCUGCGGUGUAGACGGCUUACUGGACCAUAACUGACGCUGAGGCACGAAAGCGUGGGGAGCAAACAGG